ensembl:scaRNA
CGCCCGGACCCCAAGUGCAGUCCCCGCAUGAGCCCGCAGUAUUUUCCUUAUAUGAUCGGGCCCCGUUACGGGCGAGGCCGCUUGUUUCAGGGCCUGAGAGGAUUAUGAAAACGAGGCAGGCGAAGUGGGGCUCGGGGCCCGGGCG